GUAAGUUGUGAUUUCUAAAAUUUCUUUAAUAAUUCUGUCGUUUGCUAUCAUUUAGAAUGAAAUAUUCUAUCAUUUUCCUAAACUUUAGCUAUUUGCACCGGUUUGCAACGAAAGACAUUGGUGGUUGUAGAUUGCCGAUGUCAAGAAGAAGGCAUUCUAUGUGCUUGACCCCGCGAAGAAAAAGAAAGAUGAAAUACUUGAAAUAAAAAUUACGCUGAACAAAUUUGUUGGAUUAAUAGUAUUCCAGAUGAGGAUUUAUGCUGGAACAGAACCCUUGAUGGAGGACGGAGAGGGAGUUGAAGUAGAAUAUAUCACGAUCAGCGGUCAAUGAACAAAUUAUGAUUGCGGGAUAUACGUGAUAAAAUGGCUGGAAACAAUUUAUCCUCAACAGAUUAAAAAAGGGAAGUAUCAAUAUAAAAACUGGAAACAAGUAAAUAAUUUCUAAAUUAAUAAAAUUUGGUUCAUUUCUUAUUUCAGUUGGGUUCAAAUUAAGUAAUUUCUUUCAAUUAAUUUGUAGGAAGAAAUUGAUGCCUUCAGGCACGAAUAUGGUCCAACCAAUUUGUUGCACAAAAUAAAUAAAUUGAGAGACCAAGUGAUUGAGGCAUCUGAAGCCAUAAAACUCCCUAAACCAUCUAUUGCCCUCUCAAGCCUUUUUUGUAAAUUCACAUCUGGAGAUAUAGACAGUAAAUAGGUUAUAGUUUCUUUGACUCGUUGAAAUUAAUACUAAUUUGUUUAACUUGUUUAAAAAAGCAAACACUUCUUCUUUAAUGUAUAUAUGUGAAUAUUAAUG